CUCACCAUGGGAUGGAGCUGGAUCAUCCUCUUCCUCCUGUCAGUAACUACAGGUGUCCACUCCCAGGUCCAGCUGCAGCAGUCUGGUCCUGAGCUGAAGAAACCUGGUUCCUCAGUGAAGUUGUCCUGCAAGGCUUCAGGCUACACCUUCACUAACUACUUGAUGCACUGGGUGAAGCAGAGGCUUGGACAGGGCCUGGAGUUUAUUGGAAAUAUUUAUCCUGGAAAUGGUGGUACUGACUACAAUCAGAAGUUCAAGGGCAAGGCCAAACUGACUGCAGACACAUCCUCCAGCACAGCCUACAUGGAGCUUAGCAGCCUGACAUCUGAGGACUCUGCUGUCUAUUAUUGUGGGAGAGACACAGUCUUGAACUUCAAGUACUAUAUUGAAUAA